GACGUAGGGCGCGAGCGUUGUCCGGAUUUAUUGGGCGUAAAGAGCUCGUAGGCGGCUUGUCGCGUCGACUGUGAAAACCCGCGGCUCAACUGUGGGCUUGCAGUCGAUACGGGCAGGCUGGAGUUCGGUAGGGGAGACUGGAAUUCCUGGUGUAGCGGUGAAAUGCGCAGAUAUCAGGAGGAACACCAAUGGCGAAAGCAGCUCUCUGGGACGGUACUGACGCUGAGACGCGAAAGCGUGGGGAGCGAACAGG
rnacentral:rRNA from 1 species